GAUGAGUUCUCCCUGAGACUUAAAGUCUCCUAAAGGAACGUUGAAGACGACGACGUUGAUAGGUCGGGUGUGUAAGCGCAGCGAUGCGUUGAGCUAACCGAUACUAAUGAACCGUGAGGCUUAACCUUACAACGCCGAAG
rnacentral:rRNA from 1 species